AUUGAACGCUGGCGGCAGGCCUAACACAUGCAAGUCGAGCGGAUGAAGGGAGCUUGCUCCUGGAUUCAGCGGCGGACGGGUGAGUAAUGCCUAGGAAUCUGCCUGGUAGUGGGGGAUAACGUCCGGAAACGGGAGCUAAUACCGCAUACGUCCUGAGGGAGAAAGUGGGGGAUCUUCGGACCUCACGCUAUCAGAUGAGCCUAGGUCGGAUUAGCUAGUUGGUGGGGUAAAGGCCUACCAAGGCGACGAUCCGUAACUGGUCUGAGAGGAUGAUCAGUCACACUGGAACUGAGACACGGUCCAGACUCCUACGGGAGGCAGCAGUGGGGAAUAUUGGACAAUGGGCGAAAGCCUGAUCCAGCCAUGCCGCGUGUGUGAAGAAGGUCUUCGGAUUGUAAAGCACUUUAAGUUGGGAGGAAGAGCAGUAAGUUAAUACCUUGCUGUUUUGACGUUACCAACAGAGUAAGCACCGGCUAACUUCGUG
rnacentral:rRNA from 1 species